rnacentral:lncRNA from 1 species
AUGUUUUUCUCAUGGAGGAUCACAGCUGUCAAGAAGACAAGCCCAACAUUCAGGUUUAUGUCAUGGCUGUUGACAUCAUUUAAAGCAAUCUAUGUGGCCAAGCGCAGAUCAGAAGGAGGGACUCUCUUCAUUCACUCUAAGGCUAUGACAGAGCCUCUCUCUUGUGCUCUGCAGUCUUCCACCCACGGUGAAAUCCAGCAAAUCCACAGCAAGCUGUAUACAUUGUCAUUGAGCUUUUCCAACAAAGCAUUCGGUGGACAAAAGAAAGAUGAUGCCACCAGGAGGUUGUUGCUGUUAUUUUUCUACUUGUUUGGAUAUUUUGCCCUUUGCAACAUCAUCUCAGAGAGCAUGAUCAGCAAAUCCCAGAAGACUUGCUAUAAAUCUCUCGGCUUCCAUCCCGUAAUGACUUGGGCAGAAACAUUCUGAAUUAAACGAUGCUGUGACGUGAUUUAUGUACAUCUGGACUUUCAACCCAAUGGCUUCCCAGCACUCUAUCAAUCUUUAUAAAGUCCUGGCAAUGUACUUGAAAAGAAUUGCAAUGCAGUGAGUUAAAAGCGAGGCCUGGAUUUUUGCCAAUGUGACAAGAUAAGAAGCUGUGUGACCUGGCCCAUGCUGUGAAGCUGGUGCGGGAGAAAUGAUUGCACUUUGGGCUCAGAAGCCCCCUGAGCUCUGCUGCUUGCCCUCUCCAGUCAACUGCCACAGCUUGAAAUGACUACUGCCGGGAAAGGUUAGGAGAAACUUCAACGCUGGGGCUUCUUUAAUAUUUCUUUCAUGACAUUAAGUUGAAGCUGCUGGAGCAUGGCUUGCAUUUUAACCCUGUUAAUUUAUUCAGAUUGGUGCCUUCCUAAACCUAUACAAUAUAAUUCAGCAAGCCUACGGAUUGUAUUAUUGUUCCCAGUAUAAGGUAACUCUUACUCCCUAUAAGGGGAUUAAACCUUCCAGGCCCAUGGACAGCAGGCUUGACUAUGUGACUUGGUUUGGCUAAUGAAAUGUAGUCAGAAAUGCUAGAUGAGCAUUGCGAGCAAAAGCUCUAUGAGCUGUUGUGGUAUUUCACCAUCAUUCUUUUCCCAGAGGCAGGUCCCAGAUGGAGGCUGCUCAUUCAACCUGAGUGGGCUCCAGAUGAAAGAGCCCAAGCCAACCUAUGAUUGACAUAUAAAAUGAGCAAGAAGAAAAUUCUGUUUUAAGAUAUUGAGGUUUGAUGGUAGUAGGUGCCUUUUGUUACUGUAGCAUAACUCAGUCUAAGCUGAGUGAUAAAAUCAGUAUCCUUUAUAGAAACUAUAAUAACCUACCAAACAUGAAUAAACCAAAAAAGCUCAGCA